GACGAACGCUGGCGGCGUGCUUAACACAUGCAAGUCGAACGGAGUGGCGAACGGGUGAGUAAAACGUGGGUGAUCUGCCUUGCACUUCGGGAUAAGCUUGGGAAACUGGGUCUAAUACCGGAUAGUGCAAGAUGAGCUCGCGGCCUAUCAGCUUGUUGGUGGGGUAAUGGCCUACCAAGGCGUCGACGGGUAGCCGGCCUGAGAGGGUGUACGGCCACAUUGGGACUGAGAGACGUCCCAGCCGCCAAUGGGAGGCAGCAGUGGUGAAUAUUGCACAACGGGCGGGAGCCUGAUGCAGCGACGCCGCGUGGGGGAUGAAGGCCUUCGGGUUGUAAACUCCUUUCGACCGGGACGCGUUACUUGCACAAGAAGCACCUGCUAACUACGUGCCAGCCGCCGCGGUAAUAC
rnacentral:rRNA from 1 species